rnacentral:rRNA from 1 species
CACUGGAACUGAGACACGGUCCAGACUCCUACGGGAGGCAGCAGUGGGGAAUAUUGCACAAUGGGCGCAAGCCUGAUGCAGCCAUGCCGCGUGUAUGAAGAAGGCCUUCGGGUUGUAAAGUACUUUCAGCGGGGAGGAAGGCGGUGAGGUUAAUAACCUCAUCGAUUGACGUUACCCGCAGAAGAAGCACCGGCUAACUCCGUGCCAGCAGCCGCGGUAAUACGGAGGGUGCAAGCGUUAAUCGGAAUUACUGGGCGUAAAGCGCACGCAGGCGGUCUGUCAAGUCGGAUGUGAAAUCCCCGGGCUCAACCUGGGAACUGCAUUCGAAACUGGCAGGCUAGAGUCUUGUAGAGGGGGGUAGAAUUCCAGGUGUAGCGGUGAAAUGCGUAGAGAUCUGGAGGAAUACCGGUGGCGAAGGCGGCCCCCUGGACAAAGACUGACGCUCAGGUGCGAAAGCGUGGUG